AAAACACCUCGAUUCUGCCAGGAGUCCUGGUCACAUCUCAGUGUCUGGAACUCCUUAAAAUAGCCAACUGCCCCCGUCCCUGCGGCACCGACCGCUCCAGGCCACUAGCGGCAGUGCGGCCGCUCAGCUCUGGGGACGCCUUCGUGGGAGAGGACUGCUCCCCGAAAAGCAGACGGAAUCAGAGCACGUCCUCUGGGAGACAUUCAGUCACAGCAGUUGCCUCCUGGUCAGUUUGGCAUGAUGCCUCUGAUGGAUGGGGCCCAGAUCACAUGGCCUUCCUUCUGCACAGAAAGCCAGAAAACCGAUGAGUGACAUUUCCGCCUUCAUCCCUGCCUUCUAAAGGACUCCAGGGCAGGUGACACAGAGCUUCAGUGGAAUGCUAACACAUUCAGGGUAAAUGGUAGGCUGUUUUGGGCUUUUAAAG